AGCAUCUAUACAGUGAAACUGCGAAUGGCUCAUUAAAUCAGUUAUCGUUUAUUUGAUAGUACCUUACUACUUGGAUAACCGUGGUAAUUCUAGAGCUAAUACAUGCUAAAAACCUCGACUUCGGAAGGGGUGUAUUUAUUAGAUAAAAAACCAAUGCCCUUCGGGGCUCCUUGGUGAUUCAUAAUAACUUAACGAAUCGCAUGGCCUUGUGCCGGCGAUGGUUCAUUCAAAUUUCUGCCCUAUCAACUUUCGAUGGUAGGAUAGUGGCCUACCAUGGUUUCAACGGGUAACGGGGAAUUAGGGUUCUAUUCCGGAGAGGGAGCCUGAGAAACGGCUACCACAUCCAAGGAAGGCAGCAGGCGCGCAAAUUACCCAAUCCCGACACGGGGAGGUAGUGACAAUAAAUACUGAUACAGGGCUCUUUUGGGUCUUGUAAUUGGAAUGAGUACAAUUUAAAUCCCUUAACGAGGAACAAUUGGAGGGCAAGUCUGGUGGACUUCGGUCCCAGUUAGCAGAUCUUCGGGUCAGCUGCUGAGCGCCAGUAAUAGGUGCUCUGCCCCUGGCAGAGUAGUUAGUAGAGCCUGGCUUUGCAAGGUAUCCGGUUCGGGGACGGGCAAACAUCUGCUGCUGUCACAGGUACAGAGAGAGCCCAAUCUCGAGAUGACACACCUGUGUGCAUCGUAACGCGCGGUAGGAUACCGGUAACCCCGAGUUACUUGAGGGACGUGCUAAACCCACCCGUUGAGGGUUACUACCUAUGUCCACUGACGUAGGCGGUCUUGGGAUAGAAUUGGCCAGCAGCCGCGGUAAUUCCAGCUCCAAUAGCGUAUAUUAAAGUUGUUGCAGUUAAAAAGCUCGUAGUUGAACCUUGGGCCUGGCUGGCCGGUCCGCCUCACCGCGUGCACUGGUCCGGCCGGGCCUUUCCUUCUGGGGAACCGCAUGCCCUUCACUGGGUGUGUCGGGGAAUCAGGACUUUUACUUUGAAAAAAUUAGAGUGUUCAAAGCAGGCCUAUGCUCGAAUACAUUAGCAUGGAAUAAUAGAAUAGGACGUGUGGUUCUAUUUUGUUGGUUUCUAGGACCGCCGUAAUGAUUAAUAGGGAUAGUCGGGGGCAUCAGUAUUCAAUUGUCAGAGGUGAAAUUCUUGGAUUUAUUGAAGACUAACUACUGCGAAAGCAUUUGCCAAGGAUGUUUUCAUUAAUCAGUGAACGAAAGUUAGGGGAUCGAAGACGAUUAGUAUGGGACAUUGGUGUCCGGUCGUCCACAGUAGAAGCUAGUCUGAUUCAUUCGGGCAACACCAUUAAACUGAGGGGUCGCCAGACUUAGGUCGGCUAACCCACAGCCAAGUCGUACACUUUGUACGACUCAGUUCACAGACUGAAUAAUGGUGGGCCUGCUGCAACAGAAGCAGCAGGUUUUUGAUACAGCCGGUCCAGCACUGAUAAAGUGUUUGGAGUAACGCAGAUACCGUCGUAGUCUUAACCAUAAACUAUGCCGACUAGGGAUCGGGCGAUGUUAUCUUUUUGACUCGCUCGGCACCUUACGAGAAAUCAAAGUUUUUGGGUUCUGGGGGGAGUAUGGUCGCAAGGCUGAAACUUAAAGAAAUUGACGGAAGGGCACCACCAGGAGUAAUCCAAGAUUCACUGUAGUCUCUGCUCUAUAAAGUUGCCUGUUACAGGUAGGUGGUUGCUUCGAAACUAGUCAGCUGUGCUGGCAACAUCCUUAAGAUGCGUGGAGCGCCUAGCAAUGGGUGUUACCCGCAGCCUCUGCCCUGGCGGCAGCAGGUUCACAGAUCAAAUUAGGGUGGGCAGUCCUCUCCCGGUAUGGGAGAUGGGGCUGUUUGAGAUAUGAUCGGUCGCUAGAAGUCGAUUCUGGUGAAGAUAACGGGAGCCUGCGGCUUAAUUUGACUCAACACGGGGAAACUCACCAGGUCCAGACACAAUAAGGAUUGACAGAUUGAGAGCUCUUUCUUGAUUUUGUGGGUGGUGGUGCAUGGCCGUUCUUAGUUGGUGGAGUGAUUUGUCUGCUUAAUUGCGAUAACGAACGAGACCUUAACCUGCUAAAUAGCCAGGCUAGCUUUGGCUGGUCGCCGGCUUCUUAGAGGGACUAUCGGCUCAAGCCGAUGGAAGUUUGAGGCAAUAACAGGUUGACUUCACAGGCUUGUUAAAACGAUAAUUCCCCUAACAUUGGAGAAUGACACAACUGUAUACGGUGAACAGCCCUUUGGCUGAAUACCGUGGGUCGCUCCGGCGGCCCCUAACGCGCAGUAGGUUGUGGGCUGCUUAACUGCGGCUUCAGGUAUGUGCUGGUACACCUGCGAGAGCAGGUGCCCCAUUGGUUUUAGAUGUAUGUGCAUCAAAGGCUUGGGGUAUCCGAGAUCACUGAAGAGAUUUUUGGAUAUAUAACUCGCUGUGAUGCCCUUAGAUGUUCUGGGCCGCACGCGCGCUACACUGACAGAGCCAACGAGUUCAUCACCUUGGCCGAAAGGUCUGGGUAAUCUUGUUAAACUCUGUCGUGCUGGGGAUAGAGCAUUGCAAUUAUUGCUCUUCAACGAGGAAUUCCUAGUAGGCGCAAGUCAUCAGCUUGUGCCGACUACGUCCCUGCCCUUUGUACACACCGCCCGUCGCUACUACCGAUUGAAUGGCUCAGUGAGGCUUUCGGACUGGCUCAGGGAGGUCGGCAACGACCACCCAGAGCCGGAAA
rnacentral:rRNA from 1 species